rnacentral:lncRNA from 1 species
AUUUGUCCAGCUCUCUGAAGCAGCUGAUGUCCAGCUUCAGGAAAACAAACCCUUUUCCUCAUCUCCAAACCAACAGAGCAAACUGAUAGUCCUAAUCUGGAGGGCUGGUUGCCCCCUGCCAGAGGUGAUAGUUUUCCUCUUUCAGAUUGCAGCAUUAUAGUACUGUGUGAUGACCACCUUACUGCUACCCUGUACUUUGCAAAUUGCUUUAUUAUAAUUGCCAGAAUGGCAAUGGUGGGAAUGAUGGGAAGACAGCAGCAGUGGAUACAGUGCUGAUUACAAACUCCUACAAGCUCUGGCAUUGAGUGUAUUUUGGAGCCCAAAGCAGCUACAAGAGUCUGUCUUUCCUGAACCACCUAAGGCAGAGCUUGCCAACACAGGCACAUCUAGGCAGGCUUGGAGGCAGACGCAAACACUCUGAUGUAACUGGAGUCUGAACUGCUGCUGUUAGCAUGGCAUCAAGCCAAGCUCAUUAGACUUGCCAAGCGCCAGGCUUAUUAGCUCCAGCCGUGUACUGUGCUAAUGCAAUUUCACCGCUUUUAGGUGUAAGUUACUUCUGGCAUCCUGUGGCUCUACGCAGAAGUGGCGCGUUGGACUCCCUCCUCACAGAAGGCAGGACAUUUGUCCUUGCUGAGACUACAGCUGUGCAUGCCCCAUGCAGACCCACCACCGCAGAUGUUUCCUCAGGAGAAAAAGAAGUCACCUACCCAGGAAGGAAGCACAAUUAAAUGCUAACAUCUCCAUUGCACUCCCAUCAGCCACACAGAGAAAGAAGAGAGGCUCCUCCCUGUGCUGA